UGAGAACUCCCCAGCCAUGAGAAACUAUUAUAAGCAAUUUUGGGAAAGGAUUUGACAGUAUCAUAUUUACUUCUGUGGCCCAAUUAAUGAGGAAGUUCAACACUAAUUGAAACUCAUUUAGUGAAAUGAACGCAUGCUUCAGCAAUAUUUCAAGGAAAGCCCCAUCUGGCAUGGACCAGGAGGGUUUGACUUGUGCUGGAGCUGAAAGAUCUUUUCAAGGCAACCAAGUCAAGCAAGAUUGGCUGAGAUCUAGAGAAGCCCAGCCAGAUGGCAGUUGAAGAGACAGUGGGAGAUAAAUGCUGUCAAGUUUGAAUCAGAGUAAGCUGGUUGCUGCAUAAUGUCAGAGGAAGUUCAUUGCAUGGGAGAACCCUAUGUACAGAAGUCCUCCUUUAUCCAUGAUUACACUUUCUGUUAUUUCAGUUAUCUGAGGUCAAUGGGAGUCCAAAAAUAUUAAAUGAGAAAUUCCAGAAGUAAACAAUUUAGAAGUUUGAAAUUGUGUGCCCUUCUGAGUAGUGUAAUGAAAUCUCGUGCUGUGUAGCUCUGUCCCACCCAGGAUGCGAAUCAUUCCUUUGUCAAGUUAAUCCACACUGUAUAUGCUGCCCACAUGUUAGUUAUUGACAUUGUCUGCUUCUGACAUCCAACCAUCAACUUCAUCAUGGCUCCAAGAUCCAGGACCACUUAAAGCAGAUGAUCCUCAUCCCAGACUUCUGAUAUAUCCUAUUCCACCUAGGUCAUUCACCUCACUUCAUCUCAUCAUGUAGGCAUUUUAUCAUCUUACAUCAUCACAAGAAGAGUGAGUAGAGAACAAUAAAAUAUUUUGAGAGAGCGACC
rnacentral:lncRNA from 1 species